AUGGAUCAGCCCGUGCAGCCAUGGGAGUACAGCCUGCGGAAGUACCUGCUGCUGCUGGCCACCCUGGUGGUCACCGUCACGUACGCCGCCGGCUUCAACCCGCCGGGGGGAGUCUGGCAGAACGCCCUCGGCGGCCGACUCGCCGGCGACCCCAUCAUCCGCGACACCAACUACCACCGCUACCUCGCCUUUUUCUACUGCAACGCCACAGCCUUCGCCGCGUCGCUCGUGGUCAUCGUCCUCAUCCUCGUCCUCGCCAUCCGCCACGACAAGAAGGGGAAGGACAGCCGCUGGGUCGUCGUGCCCCUGCGGCUCGUCAUGGUGCUGGACCUGCUCAGCCUCAUGGGCGCGUACGGCGCCGGCACCUGCCGGGACAAGAUUUCAACCGUCUAUUCCGCGGUGCUGGUGGCCAUCGUCUUCCUCUACAUCCUCGUUCUCAAGUCGAUGGACUGCUGGGACAAGAACUCCGACCCCGGCGCCGGCUCCGGCCGCGGGAUGCCUGUCGCCAAUGGCAACACCGGCUCCGGCUCUGGCAGCGCGAGGCCCAAUCCUGACUCUGGCACCGGCACGAUUUCCACCUCCAUCGCCGGCUCCGACGGCGGGAUGCCCAUCUCCAACGGCAACACCAGCUCUGGCGGCGUCAUGUGCACUCCUGAUCCCGACUCCGACGCCGGCACGAUUCCACCCCCCAUCCUCGGCUCUGACCCCACGGUCGGAGAAGACAAGGAGCGGCUCCGCCACCACAAGGCCCACAAAAAGCUGAAAGCCGAAGAACGGCUCCGCAAGGUCCUGAUGCUCCUGGCUACGUUUGCGGUGAGCAUCACGUACGUCGCCGGGCUGAGCACGCCGGGCGGCUUCUGGGACAGCACCCAGGGCAGCCACCACCCGGGUGACGCGGUUCUCAAGGACAACCAUGGCCCGCGCCUGACGGUGUUCCUGCUCUGCAACACCACGGCAUUCGUGGCGUCCCUGCUCAUUACCAUGCUGCUCAUCAUCGACGGCAAGAAGCUCCGCAAGAAGAAGACGGCUCGGUCUCGCAUGCUCUACGGGUGCAUCGUCGUUGCCCUGGUCGGUCUCGUUGCGGCGUACAUCGCCGGCAGCUGCAGGGAGAUCGAUACCACCGCCUACGUGUUCAGCCUAGUUGGCGCCGUUCUGGCAAUGGCACACAUCAUCCUACUCUAUGGUAUCUACGCUUCUUCUCGUUCCAGUCCAGUGCAACAAACUGGAGAAGUUCAGCAGACUGUUGAUAAUGUCAGUGGUAGGAAGGCUCUGGACAAGGCUCGCUCUCUUGUUCUACUGCUCGCUACUCUUGCCGCCGCCAUCACCUACACAGCGGGGUUGGACCCGCCGGGUGGCCUUUGGCAGGACAAUAGCAACGGGCACAUGGCCGGUGACCCAAUCCUUCUCACGACCAAUGCUAGGCGAUACAAGGCCUUCUUCUACUGCAACUCGGUUGCCUUUGUGGCCUCCUUGGUAGCCAUCGUCCUAGUCCAGACAGAUAUUCUGGUCAGGCACCACGUGCUGGAGGCAGCCAUGAUACUCGAUCUGUUUGGCCUCAUCGGCGCCUAUGCCGCCGGGAGCUGCCGGGAUGUGAAAACCUCCAUUUAUGCCAUAGCUUUGGCAGGCGCCGUCCUGGUCUAUGUGGUGAUCCAUAUUGUCUUCUUCACGCUGGACCACGAGGACAAAAAGGACGACGACAAGGCAAAUCAGUUGUUGGAGAAGAGGCGCAAACGGUUGCUCCUCUUUGCGAUCUUGGCCGCGACCAUUACCUACCAAGCCGGCCUCACCCCUCCUGGCGGCUUCCUGCUCCAGGAUGACAAGCUCGGACACCACGCUGGCGACCCGGUCCUCUUGUUCAACUACCCACUCCGUUACAAGGUCUUCUUCUACUGCAACUCGGUGAGCUUCAUGCUGUCCAUCUCCCUCACCAUCCUCCUUGUGAACCACAAUCUGUACAGGCCAGCCAUACGAAGCAAUGCGCUAUUUGUUUGUAUGGUCGUGGGCUUGUUGUGUUUGAUGGUGGCCUACGCCGCCGGAAGCACCCAACACCUCAAGACAUCCAUCUACAUCUUUCUGUUGGUCGGUGCGGCCCUUCUCGUUGCAGCCGGACUCCUGCUAGUAUUUUUGCUGAAGAAAAAUGACAGCGAUUCAGCAGCGCAACACACUGAACAGAACCAAGAAAUGAAGGAGUUAGAAGUGAGGAAUGGGGAUAAAGAGGAAAGAGAGGAGGCAGAAGAAAAGAAUGGGGAUAAAGAACUAAGGAAGAAGGAGGUAGAAGAAAAUAAAGAAGAAAGGAAGAAGCACGAGAGGCGGAAGUACCUGAUGCUGCUAGGCAUCUUGGUGGCAAGCGUAGCCUACCAGGCCGGCCUGAAACCGCCCGGCGGAGCGUGGCAGAGCAGUGAGAAUGGGUAUGAGGCGGGCGACCCGGUGAUGCAUGAUAACAGGAGACCCCGGUACCUCAUCUUCUUCUACAGCAACUCCUUUUCCUUCAUGGCUUCCAUUGUUGUCAUCAUGAUGUUGCUGCCGCACUGGCUGCCAAACAAGAAUAAAGAAGAAUGGGAAAAAUGGUCGCUGAGGGUGAUGAACUGGACGAUCCUACUGGAUUUGUUCACUCUCCUGGUGUCCUAUGCAGCCGGCUCCAACAGGCAGUGGAAGACGUCGGUUUAUGUCAUCGCACUCAUCUUUGCUGUGCUGGUCUACUUUGCAAUCCAUAUGACGCUGUCAUGUACUGUGUGUCGCCCCAAGAGCCCCCAAAGCAGCUCUGAAGUGUAG
rnacentral:rRNA from 1 species